rnacentral:miRNA from 1 species
GGAAUGUCGUCUGGUUCGAGAU